AUUUCUGAGACCCGAGACCCAUUUCCUCUCCUUCAACAUUUCUGAGACCCAUUUCCUUUUCCCAUUUCUUCAGCUUGGUACUACAUCCGAACUCCUCACUCUCUCUCUCGUCUAUCUCUAUCUCUCUGUCAACCUUCAAUUUCUAGUCGUUGGGAUCCUCGAGCGAGAAAAAGAGAAAUAAAAGGGGAAAAUCACUUUCGUUUCCUUUUUUUUAUGGUUUUUCUUUUCUUUCAUGAUCCGGUUCUGAAUUUUGAUGGUUUCUCUGAUUCCUCUUCUGCUCCGCCGUAAGAGCUACUCCGAUUGUCCCUCAGGCGUGGACUAAGGCUCGACGACUAUGGGACGUAGGCAGGGACUAAAGGUUGACGAUGAUGGGAUGCAGACGGUGCUUUGGUGGUGAGGGCUAGAUCGGUGCAGGUGGUGGUCGACUGUGUCUUGUGCAAGGUCGGGGACAGACGGGGAUUGAAGGGUGACGAAUGGGAUUCUGAUUAGACCGCAUCCAGCAAUUUGGCGCUUAGUUCAUGGCAUGGCUGUUGUUUACCUUGUUGCUCUCACAUUUUUGCUUUUUCAGUAUGGAGCUCUCAAAAGGAAAAUUGGAUUCCAGUGUGGCGGACCUCGAGAGAGAAGCUUACCCUGUUUUGGACGGACUGGGUAGAAAUAGAGGACGCUAACAUCUAUUCUCUUGACAGAUUAGUGGGCAGUUAAAAUCCUUGCAAAUUGUUGCAAGCUUGACAGCAGACUGAGAUGGUGAAAUUAGAAAAGCUGCUUUGAAUACUCUUGCCACUGGAUAUAAGAUUCUUGGUAUGU